rnacentral:lncRNA from 1 species
UGUCAGGUCCUGGAAGGCGCCCCGCUGUGCUUUUUGGACCUUUGCUGGGGGAGAGGGGGAGGGGAGGGAGUCAAUCCAGGCGGGAUGGUGGGCUUUCUGUUCCCUACCUUCUGGGGAAGGGGAAGACCCAGGUUCAUCUGUUCUGAGUUCCUAAGCCUGGGUGAAAGCAUGUGCGCUUGUGCAUCCAGAGUGGCUUGGCCAGUGCGGUGUGCUGGAGGGAGGGGAGAGUCUGUGUGUCCUUAGCGAGGACCCCAGCACCACUUCCCCAGGCCUUGGGGAGCACAGAUCCAUUGAUCCGUUAAUCAAUCAAUCGAUCGAUCAAUGUUUUCUUAGUCAUCUGCUGUGUGUCAGGCUCUCCCCUGAGGAACAUUCCAGGCCUAACGAGAGCUCUAAACCAAGGGAACCAGGCAAGAGGACUCCAUUUCCCAGAAUGCAUCUGUCGUGACUUCAUGUAAACUCCCCCGUAGAAAACUGCAUUUCCCAGAAUGCCGAGGUUCUUAUGUUUUACAACUCUUGGCACCUCCCUCUGUGUCAUCCCAAGGCAUUCUGGGAAUCUCACCUGGGCAGUCUCAGCUCCUGGAAGGCUCAAAGUUGUGGUCCUUGGACCUUUUCUGGGCUCACACCGAGGAAGUCUCCCCGCCUCGGGCUGCCACCCCCUGAAGGACCCCAGGGUGGCCAGCAGAGAGCUGGAAGCCAGAGGAAAUGGCCCCUGGGACCCGGAGGUACCCCUCUUGGGUCAUUUACCCCAUGUAUAUUCCAUUGAUCCACCCUUCUACUGCCAUGGACCAGGGUCCAGCCCCACUUGUGGCUCCAGGGGUUCUCAACAGGUGGAGCGGGUAGGCGGAAAUAAGAGGCGGAAGACUGCUGUGUAUGUGUAUCUGCCAGGGGCAGGCUUUGCAUGAAGUGGCUGCUUCGCCAUGCCCAGGUUGGUCUUUAUUCUUAUACCCAUUUUCUUGGCACACAGAUACAUCAUUCAACAUACAUGUUCAAAUAGAGAUAAUUGGAUAAGUGAUACAUUCACUUUUAACAAAUCGUUUGAUUAACAUUCUGGGAUUAUUCUAUAUUCUUGUAUUGUGAUUAUUGAUUAUGACAGGAAAUACAAAGGUUCUAUACAAGAUAUAUGAUUUUGUCACAGGUGGCUGAAUUUUCUCAUUAACCUGUGAGAAGCCUGAGCUUACAGACAAUCAAAGAAAAUUACUUAUUACCUUUAAUAAAAAGAGAUAAUCAGUCA